GCAGGUAUGGUGAAAUUGGUAUACACGCUAUCUUCAGACGGUAGUGCCUUUCGGCGUGCGGGUUCAAAUCCCGCUACCUGCACCA
rnacentral:tRNA from 1 species